CCCUGGGGGAUCAGGGCUCAGGUGGGACAUCAGCCCAGCCUGCAGGGGGUGGGCGGGGGGGGGAGUUUUUGGCCACACCUGCAGGCUAGCCCUGAAAAGGAGCUGCAAAGCCCAGCCUGAGAGGCUAUGAAGCUGAAGGAGUAAGAGAGGGGUGGUGGUGCUAGCUGCUGCUGCUGCUGCUGCUGCCUGGGUGGAGUAGCUGAAAAACAGUGUGCAAGAAGGAAGAGAAGAAGUUCAAGCCCCAGAUUGCCUUUGGGCCUGGCACCGAGGGAAUGCUGAUUAGGGAGGGCUGUUUAUUGUAAUACCGAUGGAGAAUGACAAUGAAGCUCCUGUUAGAAACGUCCUGCCUGGAGAACGACGAUUGUGAGAGCAGUGAAGGUUAAACGCUGAUAACUGUAUUGGCGAGUCAGUACAAUAAAUCUAAGUGUGCCACCUGCAUCCCGGGAGGUCUUCAAGAUGGGGCUGGCUAAAGCCCUGAGCAGCCUGGUGGGAUGCAGUGACUGUCCCUGCCUCGAGCAGGAGGUGGGCGUAACAGACCACAGGUGAACCGUGCUGCUUGGAAGGGUGAAGCACGGUGGCCAUCUCCUCUUGGUUUUGGUUUUUGGCUGUGCGGAAGUAUAUCAGCAAAUAGAGAACCAGGGAGUGUUUUUUUUUUUUGUGGAAUGAUGCCCAAAAUUGCUGGCUGUGUCCCCUGGUUCCUGCCCAUCACCUCUGGCUGCAUCGCAUCAGCCUGGUGCUGCUGCCACACAAACAUCCGUUUGCCUGCAUUCACAGAAAGUUAAAGAGCAAAUUGUAUUACACUCAAAUAAUGUUUUCUAAAAAUUGCUGAUAGUUUCCUGCAGUCAAGUAAAAUACAUGUACUCUUUUUUUAAACUUGAGAUUUUUCUUUCCAUAUGGGCCCAAAGUUCCCAAAAGGUGUUGGAGUAAUGCAGCUGCGAGCUGAGGCCCCCCUGCUCUGCCUGUGGGAGCAGACCAGACCUGCUGCUCUGAUGCUUGUAGCAAGUGGAAGAAUUAAGUACAAAUGUGGAGGACAGAAACAAUUUGUCACACACUUAGAGCCUCGGCUUUCAAAAAGUGGUGCAACACAGUGCAGAAUCAGGGUCAACCACUGUUGCUGCUUUUUAAUAUCAGUAGAGAAAUGACUUUGCACUCACCACAUCGAGAAGAUUGUAAAGUUCAGAAAGUACCACCUGCUCUCUUAAAUGGGCAGGGAUAAGAAGUGAUGCUGGAAGAAAGGUAAAAGUGGUAGGAUAAGAUAUGAAAUGUAAUAGGGAAUGCAAGUAGUUGCCAGCAAAACACCAAAAGGCAUCCUCAGUUUGUAAAGCUGUAAAUACCACUGCUGUGAUCGGCUUCUGGGAAAACACAGCAGAACAGGCCGUGUACUUGACCGCUGAAGAUGUCAAGAUGUUGAACGUGA
rnacentral:lncRNA from 1 species